rnacentral:rRNA from 1 species
GGAAGUAAAAGUCGUAACAAGGUUUCCGUAGGUGAACCUGCGGAAGGAUCAUUAUUGAAUUUAGUUGUCUGGCUUUCGCCGACGACGAUAUCAUUAUCCAUAACACCUGUGCACUGUUGGAUGUUUAAUACAUCCGUUUUACACUAAACAAUAUUGUUACAAAUGUAGUCUUAUUAUAACAUAAUAAAACUUUCAACAACGGAUCUCUUGGCUCUCGCAUCGAUGAAGAACGCAGCGAAAUGCGAUAAGUAAUGUGAAUUGCAGAAUUCAGUGAAUCAUCGAAUCUUUGAACGCACCUUGCGCUCCUUGGUAUUCCGAGGAGCAUGCCUGUUUGAGUGUCAUGAAACUCUCAAACUCUUGUUUUGGAUGCAAAUCCUUGCUUGAGUUUGGACUUGGGUGUUUGCCGGUGAUGAACCGACUCGCCUUAAACAUAUUAGCUGGACUUGUCUAUAUGACUGGUUUGACUUGGCAUAAUAAGUAUUUUGCUAAGGACAUCUUCGGAUGGCCAGUACCUAGGCUCUGUGUCUGCUAACUAAACCAUCACUUGGAGUGCAUCUUUAUGGUGUUGCUUCCUGUGUAUACUUUGACAUCUGACCUCAAAUCAGGUAGGACUACCCGCUGAACUUAAGCAUAUCAAUAAGCGGAGGA